UUGUGAGCCAGAAAGAUGGCAAUGCAAGCAAUCAUCAGGAGAGAGGGUGACAAAAGAUAUUCAUAUUUAUUGUAGAAAAAAUUCCAAAGAAUAUAGAGGCAAGAAAGGACAGAAUGAGACAAGGGUAUGGGAAGUUGAGGUCCACUACAUGUAUAGAGUGUCUGGGACAACAGGACUCCACUUGAACAACCUGUGAAGUUUUUACUUGAAAGAAACUUAAUGACAGGUAAGAGAAGUAUCCUGGAAAAUCAGAUUGUGGAGGAUGCACAGAAAUUCUGUACCUAGUUCUGAUUAAUUAAGCUUAUAUUAAAGAGGAGCCUCUUUAAAUGACCAUGAGACAU